UCCUAUAUUUUUAAGAAUUGACGUGUCUCGUAUCUGUAUCGUGUCGUAUCUGUAAUAUAUAUAUAUAUAUAGUCAUUUUCAAAGGUCAAAACUUACUUGUUGCUUGUAUUUUCUCAUUAUUUUAAUCAUCUAGAUAUCUGUUGGUAGAACUGAGCUUGUGAUUGCCAAAAAAGUGACUGAUCUUCUGCGACCCAAGUUUCCAAUUGCAAUGGCAAACAUAAAGGUUGGCUUGAAAAUUCCCAAGCAACCGAUGUUAUGAUUAUCCCUACUUAUGCUUCGGUAUGGAGGGCCUUUAGAUAGCUGAAUAUAUAUAGACAGACGUUUUUAUAUAAAUGCUCAACAUAUCUUUAUUGCAACGUAAGUGCACUACCUUCCCUUAUGCAUUACCUUACAAAUUUAAGAGUCUCUGUUUCCGUUCCAUUUCUUUUGCAUGUUGGAAGAUUUUUUCACAAUCUGUACAUAUGAAUGGGAAAUUUAAAUUGCACGGAUGGAGGAUUGUUUUUUCAUUUUACAGAUGGAAAACCAUUCAGUUUCCUAUCUCUGCCUUGAAAUACAAUUAAAAUGCCCGAAUCAUAUGGCGUUAUCAAGAUUAGUGGUAUACCAACAACAACUUGAUUGUGAUUCUUGUUUUUGUUGGUAACAAGGAUCUGUUGAUCCUCUUGUUUUUUUUUAUAAUUCUUAUGAAUGUAUUCUAUAAAUGCACUUCUUUUGAAGGAGAUGUAGUUUGUGAUAGUUCUGAAGUUUUCUAUGUUUAAUGCCAUGUCAAAAGAUGCCUAAUGCUUUUGUUGAAAGUGACAUGCUCCCCCUCACAAGGUGCUUAUUGCAUUUGUUGACAGUGACAGGGUUGCGGGGGUGCUAUCUUUAUGUUGUCUUCAAGGCAAUUAGGUUUUGAUGUGGAAGAUAAUUUUAUUGCUCUUUAUUUAUCUAAGCAUGUCAGUUUCACUUUCUAUGUAUUGGUGAUUGUUUAAUGUGUUAUGUGGAUUCAGUUCCUUUUAGAAAGGGUAUCUUUUUAGCCUAUGGUGACCUUAAAAGAGGGAUUGCCUUGGGAGACCAGAUCAGUGAAAACAGUGAGAGAUGGAGAAGUUAAUACAUCAUGGAUCUUGGACUAAUAGAUCUGCCUAUGAAGUCAGCUACUCAGUCGUAUUGAAUGCAUAUGCUCUCUCUUUCUCUAAUAUUGAAUGGAGUUGCGUAGGGGGAAAAAUAAGGCAGCAUAGUAAAGCUUCUCUUUUUUUCCUAUAUCAUGGAUUCAUUGUCAUCAUUUGAGCCUUCUUCUUUCUUCUUUCUUCUUCUUCUUGUUUUUUCUUUUGUGUUCAUAAUCCUUUUGGUUGAGUUUUUUUUGGAGGAAUUAGCACUAAAGACAUUGUUUUCCUAAUUGACGCUUACUUUCCUUAUUACCGUAAAAAAUUAAAGGGCCCUUUUUCCAAUCUAAUUCUAGCGCGUGUUGUUGGAAUCUGUCUCUUGCUGUUGUAAGGAAAAAAAAAUCAUUAAGGAGAAAUAUAAAUAUGAUAUGCUGAUAGAAAUACUAUAUUUAGCUUCAUCUUCUCCAGGAAAUACAUUUAUGAAGGCGUUAUCAUUUGUUGACAGUUAUGAUGAUUAGUGCGAUACUCAUAACGGGUAAUAGUGCUGUGAUAAUUUUUUAGGAGUUAAAAAAAAAAAACGUGGAAGAUUAUGAUGAUGAUAAUUGUUUAGAGUUUUGCUGGGUUGUGCAGUGCUUUUGUUGUGUAUCUUUAUGCUUUCUAUGGUAUAACAUAUAUGGAUGGUCGAAUAUGAGCUAUUCAUGAAUAACAAAAUUGUUUGACAGCUCUACAUGACAAGGGAUCUAAAGAUCCGCUUGAAGGCAACUCCUUUACUAUGGGAAUGUCUUACACCGAGAAUUACCUUGAUCAGGCAUUAAUCUUUGAUGGAACUCCUAUUGGUUGCGUCAUUUUCAUCAUGCAAUAAAAGUAAGAAGGGCUAAAUAUUUGGAAGUUGCGAAGAUUGGUACGACAAAUAUUACUUGUGUGCUGUGAUUUUCUUCUUUGAGUAAAAAAUUUGGAGGGCGAUGAUGAUGAUGGUGUAGAAUUUAGCCUGAAUGUUGGCUUGUUUCCUAUGGUAUGACUUUCUGGAUUGCCUGGAGUUUCUCAGGCAACCUCAGUUGACAUUACAAUGGGAAGUCAAGUAUAGCAAAGCUUCUCUAAUAUUUUUAUGUUAUGGAUUCAUUGUCAUCAUCUGAGCCUUCCUCUUUCCUUUUUGGUUCAUUAUUCUUUUGGUUAAGUUUGUUUUGGAGGAAUUAGCAAAAAGAAAUAUUGUUUACCUAAUUGAGACUUACUCCCCUCCUAAAAAUUCAAGGGCCUUGUGUGCAAUCUAAUUUUAAUGCGUUUUUUUGGAAUAAGUGGCCCUUGCUGUGAAAAGGGAAAAAAAUUUAUUGAAGAGAAAGAUACUUAUGAUUUUUAUGUAGAAAUACUAUCAGUAAUGUUAUCUUCUUCAUGAAAUAUAAUUAUGAAGGUCAGAUCAUUUGACAGAUAUGAAGAUUAGUGCCCUACUUAUAACGGGUAAUAGUGUUCUGAUUAUUUAUUUUAGGAGUAAAAAAAAUUUUGCGGAGGAUGGUAAUGAUGAUAAUGAUUUAGAAUUUAGAUGGGUUGUGCAGUUCUUUUGUGGAGUAUCUUUACGUUUCCUAUGGUAUGACAUAUCGAUGGUCGAAUAGGAGCUAUUCAUGAAAAAUGAUUUUUUUUGACAGUUAUAUAUAACAGGGGAUUUGAAGAUCGAUCCCCAUGAAUAAGUAACUCCUCUACUAUGGGAAUGUCUUAGUGGUAGUGGUGAUGAUGCUCAAGUAUGCUUUCCUCUACGUAUGCCAGUAACUUUCAAAAUUCCCAUAUCCAAGCCGUGCUUUUACUAUAUACCAGAUAACACAUAUUCUUUAUGUAUAUGAUUGACGACUAGCCUUAAUCGAAAGUUCCCUCUUGUUAUCGGGUGGAGUAAUUAAUUAUAGGUGCUUGUGCCUAUAGGAAACCAAAACUCAGAUCAUAAAGUCCUUGCGAAAUGAGGCAAAAUCUCUGGGUAGUGUCUUAUCUACAAACUCAUUUGUCUUCCCAAAAUUUAUCCCGGAACUUAAUCCAUUAAAAGCUCUUCGAUCGAAGAAAACAGAGGGGAGGAUGGAGCCGAAUUUUUGGAUCCAACAAAUGUGAUAUUAAUGCUUCUCAAAAUUAGUUUGGAUUCGUGCUGGCUAAGUCUUCUAUUGAACUUAAAUAUUUGUUGAUAGGUUUGAUGGAGGAGUAUAGAGAGUGUAAAGAGGAUCUGCAUAUGAUAUUUAUUUAUUUAGAGUUAGCAUAUGAUAAACUUUUAGUGAUCUGGAGAGUUCUCGAAAAGAAAAGAGUUAAUAGUGUUUAUAAGUAUUUCUAUUUCAAUUGGAUUACAUCAAGGAUCAGCAUUAAGCCCAUAUCUUUUUUCUUUAGUCAUGGAUCUUACUUGUUACUUGUAUUUUCCUCAAUAAUGUUAUCAUCGAGAUAUCUGUUGGUAGAACUGUGCUGGUGAUUGCCAACAAGUGACUGAUCUUCUGCAAUUCAAGUUUCCUUCUACUCUUUUUGCAAUGGGGAACAUCAAGGAUGGCUUGAAAAUUUUCUGGCAACCGAUGUUAUGAUUAUCCCUAUUUAUGCUUGAGGUUGGAGGGCUUUUAGAAAGCUGAUUAUUUAUUUAUUUAUUUAUUUGUGUGGGAAUUCAAUAGUCAUAUUGUUCUCUCAAUCCGUCACUCCUGAAGCAGGAUGCAGUUGCUAUGGUAAUUUAAGAUGAUAUAUAUAUAUAUGCUCAGCAUAUCUUACUUGCAAUCGAUGUGCACUUCCUUUCCUUAUGCAUUUCCUUUGAAAUUAAAUAGCCUCUGUCUUCAUUUUAUUUUUUAUGUUAGAAAAUUUUGUCACGAUCUGUCCAUAUGAAUGUAAAAUUCUUGCUGCUCGGACAUGGGAUUAUAUUUUUCUCUUACAGAUGGAAGACUUGUCGGGUCGUAGUUUGCUGUUAUUAUCUCUUUUAUGAGUAAUUUGUGAGGGCAACAAUGGUGAUGAUUUUGAAUUAGGGAUCGACUGCACAUGAGAGGGAAUAAAAUGUCCCUAUGUUUUUUAUGAUAUGGCAUGUCUGGAUGGCCUCCAGCUUCUAUGGCAAGUACAUCUUCCAUUUGGAUGGGAAUUAAAGUGUAGAAAAGCUUCUCUACUUGUCUUUUGUCUUGGAUUCAUUGUCAUCUAAGCCUUUUGUUUUUGUUUCUUCUUCUUCUACUUCUUAUUCUUGCUAAAGUGUCGAGAAACAUAGCUCAUUCAGUUCUGCCUAGCUCCCUAAUAAGCUAUUCACUAAUAAAAUCCUCUCCAAUUUCUGUUACUGUUACUGUUACAAUAUAUCCAUUAUCAAUUCUUGCUACUUAGGUUUGCCAUGUUUCUCUGGCUAUUAGAUGAUGGAUUUCUUUUGGAGAGGCUGUGAAAAUUAUUGCUGAUAAUUUGGCCAUGGUCAAUUCUUCCUCUACUGUAGCAACGAGGCAUCAAGGAAUGGCAUGGAACGCCUCUAGCAACGCGCUAGUAGUGCUAUCAAAAACUUCCUACUUGAUGAGCUUGAUGAUAUCAAGAACAUCCUUAUCUGAUUGAUGUGGAACAAUUUGACUUGUCUCUCUGGAGUGGCCCGAAUGAAAACUUCAUUCGCAGAGGUGAUGACUAUGGUGAUGCUGCUUAUGAUGAUGGUGGUCUCAUGAGCCAUAGUUAAUGCUUGCCUGCCUCGCCACUAGGGGUGUAAAUGAGUCGAUCUAGAGCAACUUAAGUGCUGUCAAAUGAGCAAAAAUAGUGUUUAGAUCUUGAACAUUUCUUGCAAAACAAAUAGUUGUUUACAGACAAAGCAUAUUUGUAAAGUUAAAUGUACCAAUUUAGUUUAUGAAUAGCGACAAUGUGGUUUAAGAACUGCGAGUACUUUUGUUUCUGAUUUCUAAAUCUCAUAUCUUUUGUCCUUGCUUUGUAAAGUUUCUCAUUAGAAUCAAUUGGAAUUAUUAUCAUUAUUCUCUGA